GUUUUAGAGGAAUGAUAGUUAAAGAAAGCACAUUCCACAUGCUUUCACAGAAUUUGAUUCUAAUCAGUUUUAUUAUAUUAAAUCUAGCAAACAAAAAUUAUCCUUAAAAUUGAAUCUAAACUUUCGAUGUUUUAUGUUGUCAUAGUCUGCUUUUCUAUAUAAAAGUCAUAGAGAACAAGUUUUCAAAAACUAUAGUCUCACAGAUAUAUUUUAUAUUCUACAGGUGAACUUCUAUCAGGGGAUGGCUGGGAACCAUUCAACAUAGUAAUUCCUAUGAAUAAUUUUGGGUAGUUCGGGUUUAUGAGAAGACUAACAUAUUUGAUGAUACAGAAAGCUCUAAUGAGAAAUAAAAUUAUGGAGACAUUGGGAUACUAUUGAUUUAAAUAUGAUCAUCCUAAAAUACAUUUGAGUACAACUAUUAAAAUCAUUAACAUUUUUAGUCUUUCUUAGGAAUCAUGUCAAAAUCAUGAAAUCUUAGCAGUGUGUUUAGAUAUGAUCAAUAAAGCAUUUUAGCCUU
rnacentral:lncRNA from 1 species